rnacentral:rRNA from 1 species
CUGGCGGCGUGCCUAAUACAUGCAAGUCGAACGGUCUUUCUAUGGAAGCUUGCUUCCGCUGAGAAGAUAGUGGCGAACGGGUGAGUAACACGUGGGUAACCUGCCCAUAAGAGGGGGAUAACAUCCGGAAACGGGUGCUAAUACCGCAUAGUUUUCUUGAUCGCAUGAUCGGGAAAGAAAAGACGGCCUUUGUGCUGUCGCUUAUGGAUGGACCCGCGGCGUAUUAGUUAGUUGGUGAGGUAACGGCUCACCAAGACGAUGAUACGUAGCCGACCUGAGAGGGUGAUCGGCCACAUUGGGACUGAGACACGGCCCAAACUCCUACGGGAGGCAGCAGUAGGGAAUCUUCCGCAAUGGACGAAAGUCUGACGGAGCAACGCCGCGUGAGUGAAGAAGGUUUUUCCGGAUCGUAAAACUCUGUUGUCAGAGAAGAACAAGUUGGAGAGUAACUGCUCCAGCCUUGACGGUAUCUGACCAGAAAGCCACGGCUAACUACGUGCCAGCAGCCGC